ACGAACGCUGGCGGCGUGCUUAACCCAUGCAAGUCGAACGGAAAGGCCCUGCUUUUGUGGGGUGCUCGAGUGGCGAACGGGUGAGUAACACGUGAGUAACCUGCCCUUGACUUUGGGAUAACUUCAGGAAACUGGGGCUAAUACCGGAUAGGAGCUCCUGCUGCAUGGUGGGGGUCGGAAAGUUUCGGCGGUUGGGGAUGGACUCGCGGCUUAUCAGCUUGUUGGUGGGGUAGUGGCUUACCAAGGCUUUGACGGGUAGCCGGCCUGAGAGGGUGACCGGCCACAUUGGGACUGAGAUACGGCCCAGACUCCUACGGGAGGCAGCAGUGGGGAAUAUUGCACAAUGGGCGGAAGCCUGAUGCAGCAACGCCGCGUGCGGGAUGACGGCCUUCGGGUUGUAAACCGCUUUCGCCUGUGACGAAGCGUGAGUGACGGUAAUGGGUAAAGAAGCACCGGCUAACUACGUG
rnacentral:rRNA from 1 species